UACGGAGGGUGCGAGCGUUGUUCGGAAUUACUGGGCGUAAAGCGCGUGUAGGCUGUUCGGAAAGUCGGGUGUGAAAGCCCUGGGCUCAACCUAGGAAGUGCACUCGAAACUCCCGAACUGGAGUCCCGGAGAGGAAGGUGGAAUUCUCGGUGUAGAGGUGAAAUUCGUAGAUAUCGAGAGGAACAUCGGUGGCGAAGGCGGCCUUCUGGACGGUGACUGACGCUGAGACGCGAAAGCGUGGGGAGCAAACAGG
rnacentral:rRNA from 1 species